AGCAGCCGCGGUAAUUCCAGCUCCAAUAGCGUAUAUUAAAGUUGUUGCAGUUAAAAAGCUCGUAGUUGAAUUUCGGGAUUCUACCGUUGGUCAGGCUAUUGUCUGUACUGGCGUGUAGAAUUUCUACCUUCUGGGGAACUAUCAUGUUAUUAAUUUAGCGUGGUAGGAAACCAGGACCUUUACCUUGAAAAAAUUAGAGUGUUCAAAGCAGGCUUAUGUCUGAAUACAUUAGCAUGGAAUAAUAAAAUAGGACGGUGGUCCUGUUUUGUUGGUUUCUGAAUCACCGUAAUGAUUAAUAGGGAUAGUUGGGGGCAUUAGUAUUCAAUUGUCAGAGGUGAAAUUCUUGGAUUUAUUGAAGACUAACUACUGCGAAAGCAUUUGCCAAGGAUGUUUUCAUUAAUCAAGAACGAAAGUUAGGGGAUCGAAGACGAUCAGAUACCGUCGUAGUCUUGACCAUAAACUAUGCCGACUAGGGGAUCGGACGAUGUUAACUUUUUCUGACUCGUUCGGCGCCUUACGG
rnacentral:rRNA from 1 species